UUUUUUUUUGUUUUUUUCCUUUUACUGAUUUUCCUAUUAUGUUUUCUUUUAGUCUCUAAUUUAUUUACUAUUCUAAAAAGAUAAAAGUAGUUCCUGAUUUAGUUUAACUAAAUAUACUACUGCCAUAUUUAACUAUGGCACCCAGAUAAAAUAGUUUAGUAUUUUACUAAAUAUAAAAGGCAUUUAUUUAAUUGUUUAAGAUGUUGUUUUAUUUAUUGUAGUGUAUUAAAAUAAUUUAUGAAAAUGUGGUUUCACCACCAUAAUCAUCUAGGAUUUAUUUGCUACAUUUCGAACACUUUAGAUUUAAUAUUUGAAAACUUUUAUUGUUUGCUUGAUUUUGAAUUUGAAUUUGAAUCGGUUUCGAACUAACUCGAGUUUAUCAACAGUAAUCGAGGUGACGUGGCACCAUUAGCAGAGUUUUACUGUACCUUGAUUAUCCGGGCGUCACAAUUCUCCUCCACUACAAGAAAUCUCGUCCCGAGAUUUAAGAGGGAAGUAAAGGGGGAAGGUUCGGGUUACGAAAUUCCAGGGAGUGUUCUUGGUCUUGGUUGUUCUUCUUGAAGAGGUUGAUCCAUUACAUUGAUGUCUUCAUUUCGCUGUUUCAGGUCAUCAUGAUGAAGUUGUCGUCCUUUUGGUCGUUCUUCUCGAAGAGGUUGAUCCAUUACAUUGAUGUCUUCAUUUCGCUGUUUCAGGUCAUCAUGAUGAAGUUGGCAUCCUUUCUUCGGGAACUCCAUCGUACUUACGAAUAGGUAAGGGGCAGCUUUACAACAAUUGAAUGUUAUAAAGGAAAAUCAUCUGGGCGGGGGUAUCCCAAGAAUGAUCAUAAGAGUAUCUCUCGAGUUGAACAAGUGAAACACAUCGAGAGCAAAGUAAGAAGGUACCAUAAGAAGUUUGAAGCGGAUAGACAAUCAUCGUUGCCUGAAACAAGGCAACGGGUAUAGGUAUUGUGUUUAAUACCAGAAUUGAUGAUCACACGGAAGGUGGCUCGUGAAUUACAUACGAAGCCAAGCGUGACGAAUAACUUUAGAAACAGGGUUGUACGGGAGAGUCAGGUUUCGAUCCUGUGGAACUGUGGGUUAUGGGCCCACCGUGUGGGUUAAAAGUAGGAAGGCGGUGACGAUUUGCACGAUGAUGUAAGAAAGGCAUGUCAGAGGAUAACCUGUCAGCUAUGUCGGCAACAACAUCGAUACCAAGGGCGAGGGACGAAGAGAACCAUUUUCCUGCUCGUUGAAACGAGGCGGACCAAUAGGCAAAGUUCCCGUCCAUCGGUGGCUACCGGGAUGUCAUCAACAAUAGUAGCAGGGUCUUGCUGGCAGAAUUGUACACCUGGGUGUUUACAUAAGCAGGAGGAUAUUACUGCUUAGAUCAUACAGACCUCAAGAAGGCUAAACAGAACAAUGGAAAGGAAAAUAUGAUUAUCAGAUUAAACAGAACAAUGGAACGGAAAAUGUGUUUAAACACAUAUUGCAGGGGUAUAUCCUUCCCAAGGACAAGCAGAGCAUGAUAUCCAUGUCAGGAUAUAAUGUAGAAAACUCUUUAGGUAAGGUGAGCGAAAUUUCAUGACUUUACCCAUACAGCGGUGUUUGGAUAUUUGAGCAGGAAACAUUUAGCAUCUGGGCUUCAAAUGUUCUUGUUGAAAAUCGGAGUACCACCGACAUGCUUCGAGAUAGCAUUGACAAGGUCUUCAAGCAAAGGUCAGACUCAGGAUGCCUGAGAAGAAAAAGGUGCGACACAAAUUGACGAGAUGACAUUGUAAGAUCCUCGGGAAAUGAACUAUGGAAGCGAGUUCUGAAACAAGAGUUCAUCAUUAAUCCAAGGGGUGACGAGGGGGUGGCUGAUGGACUCAGCGACAAUUCAUCAAGAUUAACCAAAGAUGAUUUCCACAAUUAUGUGAACAAGGAGAUAACAUUAGUCAGAUCAAAUGAUAUAAUGAUGUAUGUCAGAUGACAACAUACACAAUUGAACAAUGAUAGAAAGGUGCACCCGGAAAUCUGGACUAAGUAGCACGAUCAAUGUCCGAAUGAUGAUUCAAUAAGCAAUAGACUUAGAAUGAAACUGUAGACCAAUAACUUCAAAGCAAUAGGGUUGCUAGAAGUUUAGAAUUUACACAUCACAGACCAUUUGUCGGUAUUCCGGUUAGAAACAACACAGAGACCAAGAAAUGAACGCAAAAGGCGAGAGAUAUUACUAUAUCAAGAAUUCUCAAGAGGUGGUAAAAUUACCACGACAUCCUUGACAUAGAAGGUGGUAACAUUCCAAGGUAAAGAAGAACAAAUGUUGGAUAGCAAGGAUCUCAAGGUAUAACACAAAACACGAAUAAGUUUGUGUUGAAAGGAAGGCGAUAAAGUGGUCAGUGAUAACACAAACCAUUGAGGGGCGAGGAUGGUAUUUCUCAUCAAGAAUUCAAUAUAUAUCUUGGAAGAGCUCAGGAUGUUGCUGAUGACCACGACACAUUUGUCGAGAGAUUUCAUGAAGAUGUAAUCGGUCGGCGAUGACAUCAAGUCAAAUGAUGAUGCAGCGAAAGUCAAAUAAUACUUGAAUAAGAACUCAUAAUAAGUUAUGCAGUUCCGUGAUAAUCUCGAGAUACCAGAGGGGGUAAUACUCGACGAUAGAUCAAAGUAGAGGUUGGACUGGGGUAUUGCUCUACAUAAGACAAGCGCUUAAACUUGCAUGCAAAAUGGAAUCAAGGAGAAACAUGGUCGGAACCAUGUCCACAGAUACAAGAUGAACUUAUAACAAGGGGAUAAUUAUUUUAAGAGAAGCUUCCAUGAUAAGGUAUACAUCAUUUCCAUGGGCAUGAACACAGGGUUCAGGUCGAGUCCCACUUGUUCAACGCAUAACCUUUCAUUCACCUCUCGUAUUUUGAAAAUGACAUUAGUUGUUGAAAGUUUUACCUGGUGCAAUACCAGAUAAGUAUGACCCGUGAAAUCUUCCGGGUUUGCACAGAUUAGGGAAGGCAUUAGUUCAAACCAUCGGGCAUCUUAGGAACAUAUAUCACAAACUUCAGGAGUAAAUAACACAAGCUCGAAAGUAGAGCAUGGUUGUCAAGGGAGAGGAUACAAUUUACCAAAGGCAUUAUAUACCUGUGGAAAGGCUCACAAGGUUAUUGAAUAUUAAGGACGAUGUCAAAUGAAAUCCAACAAUGGAUCUGACGAUCCACAACGGAGCUGAUGUGAGUAUCGGUACUCUACCAGAAGAAGAAAGAAUACAAGGGGAUCAGAUGAUAGAAACAACUGACUAACUCAAAGCUCAAUUGCACAGGAAUUAUGAUUCCAAGAUAAGGGAUCAGAAGCAAUGCUCUGAAUAGGGAUGGAUAAGUUGAAUAGUCUUAGAGGUACAAUCAUCGGCAAUUUGAUUGGUCGAGAACCGACUCAUGUUUAAAAUGGCGUCUGAGCCGGAAGGAUGAAUUCUAGGAUCUAGUUGAGGAUUGCGAACAUUCGCACUCAUUGAAUCAAUGGGCUCAAAAUGAUAGUGGCAAGGGAUGCCAAUAAGAUUACUAGACUUAUGGGGUUAACCAUAAUGCAAGCAAGUAAGAAUUUCUAGAACAACAUGCUGUUGAGGAUUUUCGAAAGAUCGAAUAGUAUUUCGAAGAUUUUUGUGAAACAGAUGAACAACUGGGGAGAAACAAAUCCUCGGUAUGUGUGAGGAAUAAUUUGUAGGUGUAUUCAGGCGAGCAGAAACUACAACGCAAUAGGCACAGAGUUAUCUCGUAGCAAUAGAGAGAAUUUCGGGGUAUCUUGUAAUAACAAGAUCAAUUGGGAAUAGAAGUAAGAACGACAGGUGUAAGCAUUUAUCCAUAGGGAUAUUUCAGUGGUAGGGAAUUGUAAAAGCAACGGGCACAAGGUCUCGAGAAAAUAUUGGAGAGUAUCUUCGAAAUCUUCUUGUGUAGCAGACGAUCAUCUGUAACAAGGGGCUCUCCGAGAGAAAGUUGUUAUGAGAACCUAAUGUUAGAGUUUAGCAAAUUCAUUUAACCCGAAUAGAAGAGAGAUCAGAGUCCCAGAGUAUAGACAAGGAGUAAAAGAUACUAAUACCACCCAGAUGGUGACGUGGGCUCGUAAGGCACACAGCCAUGUUAGUAAAAAGUUUAGUAAUGUCUAGACUCGACUUCGGCCAAGGAGUGUGGAAGGGGGAUUCCUACAGGUAGUCGGCUCUGAUACCAACUUGUGACGCCCCUGAUUUAAUCGUACACUAAUCAUACACGCAAACGUGUACGAUCAAGAUCAGGGACUCACGGGAAGAUAUCACAACACAACUCUACAAAUAAAAUAAGUCAUACAAGCAUCAUAUUACAAGCCAGGGGCCUCGAAGGAUCGAAUACAAGAGCUCGAUCAUAGACGAGUCAGCGGAAGCAACAACAUCUGAGUAUAGACAUAAGUUAAACAAGUUUGCCUUAAGAAGGCUAGCACAAACUGGGAUACAGAUCGAAAGAGGUGCAGGCCUCCUGCCUGGGAUCCUCAUAAACUACUCCUGGUCGUAGUCAGCGGGCUGCAUGUAGUAGUAGGAACCUCCGGUGUAGUAGGAGUCGUCGUCAACGGUGGCAUCUGGAUCCUGGACUCCAGCAUCUGGUUGCGACAACCAGAAAGAAAGAAAAGGGGGAAAAGGGGGGAGAAAGCAACCGUGAGUACUCAUCCAAAGUACUCGCAAGUAAGGAGCUACACUACAUAUGCAUGGGUAUAUGUGUAAAGGGCCAUAUCGGUGGACUGAACUGCAGAAUGCCAGAAUAAGAGGGGGGAAAGCUAGUCCUAUCGAAGACUACGCUUCUGGCAGCCUCCGUCUUGCAGCAUGUAGAAGAGAGUAGACUGAAGUCCUCCAAGUAGCAUCGCAUAGCAUAAACCUAACCGGCGAUCCUCCCCUCAUCGCCCUGUUAGAGAGCGAUCACCGGGUUGUAUCUGGCACUUGGAAGGGUGUGUUUUAUUAAGUAUCCGGUUCUAGUUGUCAUAAGGUCAAGGUACAACUCCAAGUCGCCCUGUUACCGAAGAUCACGGCUAUUCGAAUAGAUUAACUUCCCUGCAUGGGUGCACCACAUAACCCAACACGCUCGAUCCCAUUUGGCCGGGCACACUUUCCUGGGUCAUGCCCGGCCUCGGAAGAUCAACACGUCGCAGCCCUACCUAGGCACAAUAGAGAGGUCAGCACGCCGGUCUAAAUCCUAUGGCGUAGGGGUCUGGGCCCAUCACCCAUUGCAUACCUGCACGUUGCGAGGGUGGCCGGAAGCAGAACUAGCCCCCUUAAUACAAGAGCAGGCUUACGUUCCAAUCCGGCGCGCCGCUCAGUCGCUGACGUCAUGAAGGCUUCGACUGAUACCACGACGUCGAGUGCCCAUAACUGUCCCCGCGUAGAUGGUUAGUGCGUAUAGGCCAGUAGCCAGACUCAAAUCAAAUACCAAGAUCUCGUUAAGCGUGUUAAGUAUCCGCGAACUCCGACCAGGGCCAAGCCCACCUCUCUCCUAGGUGGUCUCAACCUGCCCUGUCGCUCUGCCACAAAGUAACAAUCGGGGGCCGUCGGAAACCCAGGCCCACCUCUACCGGGAUGGAGCCACCUGCCCCUUCAGCCCCCAACUCCGAACAGUAUCAUAAGUAAUGUAACAGUAUAAAGUAUAUAGCAUAUGCCCGUGAUCACCUCCCGAAGUGAUCACGGCCCAGUAGUAUAGCAUGGCAGACGGACAAGAGUGUAGGGCCAUUGAUGGAACACUAGCAUCCUAUACUAAGCAGUAGGAUAGCAGGUAAGGGUAACAACUGUAGCAACAAUGACAGGCUAUGCAGUAGAAUAGGAUUAACCGAAAGCAGUAACAUGCUACACUACUCCAAUGCAAGCAAUAGAGAAGAAUAGGCGAUAUCUGGUGAUCAAGGGGGGCUUGCCUGGUUGCUCUGGCAAGUAGGGGUUGUCUUCGAUGUAGUCGAACACACGGACAUCAGCAGCGGUCUCGGAUUCUACCGGAAAGAAGUAACGGAGGGGGAAUACAAUAAAUAAUAGAGCAAUCAAAGCAUUACAAAGCAUAACAAGGCAAUGCGCGGUACUAGAGGUGACCUAACACAGUAGGAGGGGAUACCGGCGAAGGGGGGAAACAUCCGAGAAAGUAUCCCCAGUGUUUCACGUUUUCGGGCAAAUAAACCGGAGGGGGAAAGUUGUGUGUUCGCUAUGCUAGGAAUGUGUGGCGGACGAACGGGUUGCGUAUUCGGAUACGUCUCAUCGUUCUGAGCAACUUUCAUGUAUAAAGUUUUUUCAUCCGAGUUACGAUUUAUUUUAUAUGAUUUUUCGAAGUUUAAAUCAAUUUCUAGAAUUACUAAUCUAUUAUUAAUAUGAAAAUCAAAUAGCGAAAAUUCUAAGUGCACCCGGUGCAGUGCACCCGGUGCAGUGCACCCAGAGUGCAACAGGGGUUGACGAUGGGGCCAGUCAACUGCCCAGUCAGCAGUUGACUGGUCCAUGGUUGAAUAGUCAAUGGGUCUGGUGGGACCCACAUGUCAGUGCCUUAUCUAUUGCUUAUCUAUUUUUAUUUUAUUCUAAUUCCUUAAUUCUUUUCUUCUUCUUUUUAAUAGGCCGGCCCCAUGUGAAGUGGCUCGGGCCACGGUUGGGUGGCUGGGAACGCACACAUGCGCUCCCAGAGAGACGCCGACGGCGACGACGCAUGACGAGGAGGCGCAGUGCAGGGGCGAACGAGAUGGGCGAGGCCGGCGAGGCCAGCGCGCGGUCAGCUAGUCGGGGUGAGUGGCGGACGGAGCCGACGAGGGCGAGUGGCGGCGCAGGAGAGGAGCAGCAGCGCCGGGGGAAGUGGGGCACGAGCGGGCGGUCCGGCGCAACAGAGCAACGCGGUAGCGACGGCCGGAGACGGGUGCGACUAGUCGCGGCGGGGCCAGCAGCAGCGGCUCGAGCCAGCGAGCCACAGCAGAACACAGCAGCGCAACGGGGCGUAGUAGUGGGGGUGAGCAGGGUCGAUGAGGGGACUGAGGCAGCUGCGGGGCACGGCCGGCGAGCGACGCGAACGACCACGGCUAGCGGACGCGGGACACGGCCAGGGAGUGCCCCUGGGGCGGCCAGGACGCCGUGAGCGCGACCACACAGUGGUGAGCGACAGUGGUGAGCGCGAGCUCCGGCGCGGCGGCGUACAAGUUCUACGACGACGGAUUCGACAUGAAAAAAGGGGGGAAUCGGUGGAGGUGAUCACCACGGAGCUCGUGGACGUGGUCAGGAGGUCGGGGCGCUCGGGAGGCGGCGCAUCUGACGACGAACAUCGGUGGCCGUGGCGAAGAAGACGGGCGAUGGCGAGCUUCCGGUGCGUCCGAGCUCGAACCGAUGCACGUAGUCGGUGGAGGCGGAGGCGCUGAAGCUCCAGGGCAUGCUCUCGGGUGACGGGGAUGCCGAUGGCCGCGGGAUCGACGCAACAACGACGACCAUGAGCUUCAGGCGACAAACAAACGAAAGAGAGAGAGCACGAGAGGAUAAGUGACGAUUAGGGUUUGUCUAUGGGGUUGGGGGUCUUCUUAUCCAUCUGCAGGGUACUCCAGAUGAUUGACACGGCGACAAUCGGCGGCGUGGACGGUGUGCGUGCGUGCACAGCACCAUGGCCUCCUCUGCGCUGUACAGAGGUGGGAGAAAAGCCUUUGUGGGCUGGGCCAAAACACUAUAGCUACAUAGAGCCCACCAGCACAGGAGCUUGUUAUUUUUUUUCCUUUUACUGAUUUUCCUAUUAUGUUUUCUUUUAGUCUCUAAUUUAUUUACUAUUCUAAAAAGAUAAAAGUAGUUCCUGAUUUAGAUAACUAAAUAUACUACUGCCAUAUUUAACUAUGGCACCCAAAUAAAAUAGUUUAGUAUUUUACUAAAAAUAAAAGGCAUUUAUUUAAUUGUUUAAGAUGUUGUUUUAUUUAUUGUAGUGUAUUAAAAUAAUUUAUAAAAAUGUGGUUUCACCACCAUAAUCAUCUAGGAUUUAUUUGCUACAUUUCGAGCACUUUAGAUUUAAUAUUUGAAAACUUUUAUUGUUUGCUUGAUUUUGAAUUUGAAUUUGAAUCGGUUUCGAACUAACUCGAGUUUAUCAACAGUAACCGAGGUGACAUGGCACCAUCAGCAGAGUUUUACUGUAGCUUGAUUAUCCGGGCGUCACAAUAGGAUAGCCAUACACAUUGAGAAAUAAUAUAUAGCGUUGAGCACCAUGUUUAAGUAGAGAUUACAACGGGUAAAAGAGGGGUUACAGCACUGCAUAGAGGGGGGAAGAGUUGGUGAUGAGGGCGGUGAAGUUGUUGGUGUAGAUUGCGGUGAUGAUGAUGGCCCCGACGGCACUCCGGUGCCACCAGAAGCGAUGGGGAGAGAGCCCCCCUCCUUCUUCUUCCUCCUUGACCUUCUCCCUAGAUGGGAGAAGGGUUUCCCCUCUGGUCCUUGGCCUCCAUUGCGUGGGAGGGUUAAGAGCCCCUCUGAGAUUGGAUCUGUCUCUCUGUUUCUGCGUUCUUUGAUUCUGCCCUUUCACCGUUUCUUAAAUUCCUGGAGAUCCGUAACUCCGAUUGGGCUCAAAUUUUAACACGAUCUCUAUCCGGAUAUUAAAUUUCUUCCGGGAAAGAAGGGCAUCAACUGCCUUACGGGGUGGCCACGAGGGCCCAGGGAGCGCCUGACCCCCUGGGGCGCGCCCCCCUGCCUUGUGGCCCCCUCGGGUAUCGUCUCGCGUUCAUUCUUCUUCCCAAAAUUCACAUAUAUUCCAAAAAAAUCUCCGUCUGUUUUUAUCCCGUUUGGACACCGUUUGAUAUGGAUUUUCUGCGAAACAAAAAACAAGCAACAAACAGAAACUGGCACUGGGCACUAGAUCAAUAUGUUAGUCCCAAAAAUAGUAUAUAAAGUUGCUAAAAAUAUAUAAAAAUUGUAGAAUAUUGGCAUGGAACAAUCAAAAAUUAUAGAUACGAUGGAGACGUAUCACGGAGCGAUGCCUACAUGCUAGGCUCAAGCAUCGCAUGGUUAGCUUGACGGUUCUGGAGUGGGCUCGAAAGAACCAAUGUGCUAGGUUGGCAAAUCUGAGGGAGGGUGAUGCCAACACCAAAUUCUUCCACCGUCGCAUCAAUGCCCGUAGGCGAAAAAACCACAUUCACUGGUUAAAGCAUGCUCAAGGUUGGGUGACUGAGCAUAAGUAAAAAGAGAAGAUCAUCCACGACCACUUCUCCGAGGUCAUGGGGUGGGCAAGCACGAGUAAGAAUGAUUUCAAUGGGAUGAAUUGGACAUCGAGAACCAUGCCUUGCAAGACCUCUGACUCCGCCAUCACUGAGGAGGAGGUUUGGAAGGCUAUAAAGUAGAUGCCUAGUGAUAAGGCGCCGAGUCCAGAUGGAUUCACGGGGAUGUUCUUCAAGAAGUGCUUGGGAACCAUCAAGCAUUCGAUCAUGGGGGUCAUUCAACGAUUCGAUUCUCUGCACACCUCCAACCUCCAGUGGCUAAAUUCGGCCAACGUUAUUUUGUUGCCAAAGAAGGAUGGUGCGGAAGGCAUCUCUGACUAUAGGCCCAUUAAUCUCAUCCACGCCAUCGCUAAAAUUAUUGCCAAGAUUCUCUCGCUUCGGCUUGCGCCUCACAUGGAUGAUCUUGUCUCCAACGCCCAGAGUGCAUUCAUCGAAAGGAGAAGUAUUCACAACAACUUCAUGUAUGGUCGAAACUUCGCCCGACGUCUUCACAAAUGCAAAACACCCGCACUCCUCUUCAAGCUUGAUAUUAAGAAGGCGUUUGACUCGGUCAAGUGGGGAUACAUCUUAGAGAUUCUCCAGUGGUUGGGCUUCCCACCCAAAUUUCGGGCUUGGAUUGUUGCGUUGUUAUCAUCUUUUUCAUCUCGGAUUAUGUUAAAUGGGUUGCCCGACACAUCGACAAUCUUGCCUACUGCAAAUGCCAUUAUUAAGGACAUAUCAACAUACUACCUCCUUUCCGGUUUAUAAGGCUUGUGCAUAUUCCUAGAUCUAUACUUUGACAAACAUAAGAUGACUUAUAUAGUCUAAAUAUUACACCAUUAGAAAUUAUACGAUUUGAAGUUUCUAAUGAUACAUAAGAACAUUUAGAUCAUUACUUUAUUUUAGUGAUCUAUACGCUUGUAUUUCUUUACGGAGGGAUACUACAUAUAUCCUUUCAUGACAUCACAACCAUCCUGUUGUUUCCAGAUUCUUGCCUUGCCAAACCAACCAGCUCGCUGCCAUUUUGCCUCGAAGAGGAAGUGAUGGCAUAUGGCACCAACAAAACGGAAUGGUAUAAGCUGGACGUAUCGGGUGGGGGAAAUAAUGUUAGGCCGCCGAAUAUAGAUCCUCCUCGCACACGUUAUUCCAAGUUCCUCUGUCUCAUAUUCCCUUUAAAAAAAAGUUCGCCUGUCUCAUCACUCCCAGAACUGUUGACGCUCCAUCAUUCCUCAAUCCUCGCCUUUGUGGGUUGUGGCCGAGAUGUACUACUCAGAUUCCUUCCCUUUCUCCCAAGGACAAAUAAUAGGAUGUGCUUUAUCUGAAAGUUACCUUUCACUGCUCCUGCUUUAUGUACCCUCGGUCCUGCCCCGAGAUGCAAUUGUCAGCCGCUCGAUCGAUCGCUGGAUAUUACUAAAGGAGCACACAGGAUUAGGUGACAGCCGAGCAGGAUAGUCCAGGCACAGGCAUAGAUCGAGAACAUGGAGACCAGCAGCAGUGAGAAGCGUGUAGGGGGAAUCAACGAGUUCGUCUCGAUCCGAUGCAGUGCAGUUCGACCACGUGCGUGCAAACUGUACUACAGCAAGAUCAUGUCAGAUCACAAAAUUAUCAGUAGAUGAUAUGUUCUGCCGUCUCGGUCCGAUGCAGUUCGACUCGACCACGUGCGUGCAAACUGUACUUACAACAAGAUCAUGUCAGAUCACGCAAUUAUCAGUGAUAUGAUCCGCCGUCUCGAUUCAUAUCAUGCGUACGGUCCCAGAACGCAGAGGGUUGGUUGUUAACUAACGCCGAAAACUUGCGUCACAAACGUUAAUUAGCAUAACCCUUACUAACCCAAGGGGUCUACAUGCUGUUAGAAGCUUCAGAAAAAGGGCGGUUCCACUGAUUAGUGCCCGUAUGCAUGCAGUGGGGGUUACGGUACUUUAGAGAAGAACGGAAAGGUGACAAUGGCGGCAGAGCGCUUCUUUCUCCCCCUUGAGAAGUAAACAAAACGGGCGAGGUCUCAUGCGGACACACAGGGGAAUUCCCGAGCGCAAAGCGAUCAGAAACAUUGUUGCAAGGGACAAGGUAGCUUCUGCGGCCUGAUCUCGUCGCAUUCCGUUCACAUCGAUUUUACUGUGGCUCUUGUAGGAGUAACUGUCCGACAAUCACGGCCGGCAACCAAGCAUCAACUGGUUGUGCUGCAGGUAAGGAAUGGAACGAGAUGCUAGUACUGUAUUUGGUUAUGUUCAUGCUGGGGUCGCGGAUUUUGCAUCUUUAGGACUUUAGCCAGUAAGUAAUUAGCUCUGGUUGUACGUACUUGUCUUUGGGACAAAGGUCUUCGGCUGGACGCCUCGAACCGCAUACGGCAUACUAAUCAUGCAUAAUCAUGGCGAGCGGCAACAUACGGAGCGACACAAUCUUGUGGCACUUGAUUAGCCGCAGCUACUUACUUAACCUGCUUUCUCCCAAGACUCUCGGCGAUGGUUCAGCUAACGGUUCGUGCAGUGCGCCAAGCAGGCCAUGGCCUGGAGCUCAACACACAGGCGUUCAGAGGCUCAGAGCUGUCGCGUUCAUCGAAAGUAGGAGUGGAGUGGACGUUUCUGCGUACAUCCAUUUUCAGUAGGGCACAGGGCCCAUAUAUUGCACACCAUCUCGGCUGUGCCCACAUUUUUUCUUCUUCUUUAUUUUUUGAGCGAAGGCCGUGCCCACAUAUGUGGACCGACUCUGCGUUGAAGCCGUGCUGAAGAAUAGUUCCUUUUCCCGGGCUGGACCGAUAGCGCCAACCCUGUCAUCAUCAAUCGGUUUGAUGGGCGACAACGAUUUUCUUUAGCAAAUGGCUGAAAAAUUGCUGUCACCCGGUUUCGCUGUUGCUCCGUUAUGUGUCGGUGGUACACAGAGCUAGCUCACCCGAGCAGUAGCCAAAAUGGACUACGGGAAUUCUCCCAUCUGCUUAUCCGUUCCUCUAUUCUCAACUGUGUGUCUAACUCUGAAAAGAGAAGAGAGGGCCUCUGACCUUUUUAUUUUAUUUAUUUAUAAUAUACUUCUUUUGUUUUUAAAUAUCUAUUUUUCUAGAGAUUUUGAAUGGACUACCAUAUACAGAUGUAUAUAGACAUAUUUUAAAGUGUAGAUUCACUUAUUUUGCUCCGUAUACAGUCACUUCUUGAAAUCUCUAGAAAGACAAAUAUUUAGAAGCGAAGGAAGUACUACUGAUGUAGAAACUCGGUCCCAUGCCGGAGCUUUUUUGGUUAGCAUAUUCCGAGCUGAAACUUGUCUUAGGACAUCUCUUAGCGAACCCUUAAAUGUUAACUCAUCAAACAUUUUGUUAAAUUUUCAAGUUUAAGGAGUUAAUGUCGGGGAACGCAGUAAUUUCAAAAAAAAAUCCUACGCACACGCAAGAUUCAUCUAGGUGAUGCAUAGCAACGAGAGGGUAGGGUGUUGUCCACGUACCCUCGUAGACCGUAAGCAGAAGUGUUAUGACAACGCGGUUGAUGUAGUCGUAUGUCUACACGAUCCGACCGAUCUUAGCACCGAAGGUACGGCACCUCCGCGAUCUGCACACGUUCAGCUCGGUGACGUCCUACGAACUCUAGAUCCAGCAGAGGUCGAGGAAGAGUUUCGUCAGCACGACUGCAUGAUGACGGUGAUGAUGAAGUUACCGACGCAGGGCUUCGCCUAAGCACUACAAUGAUAUGACCGAGGUGAAAAUCUAUGGAGAGGGGCACCGUACACGGCUAAACAAUCAACUUGUGUGUCUAUAGGGUGCCCCUGUCGAUGUCAAAACUGGCGGAUCUUGGGUAGGGGGUCCCGAACUGUGUGUCUAAGGCCGAUGGUAACAGGAGGCAGGGGACACGAUGUUUUACCCAGAUUCGGGCCCUCUUGAUGGAGGUAAUAUCCUACGUCCUGCUUGAUUGAUAUUGAUGAGUAUGAGGAUUACAAGAGUUGAUCUACCACGAGAUCGUUGUGGCUAAACCCUAGAAGUCUAGCAUGUAUGAUUGUGAUUGUCUCUACUGACUAAAUCAUCCGGUUUAUAUAGACACCGGAGGGGCCUAGGGUUAUACAAAGUCGGUUACAGAGAAAGAUCAUAAUACAUCCGGACGCCUAGCUUGCCUCCCACGCAAAGGAGAGUCCCAUCCGGACACGGGAGAAAGUCUUCUAUCUUGUAUCUUCAUGGCCCAAUAGUCCGGCCCAUGUCACACAGGCCAGACGCCUGAGGACCCCUUAAUCCAGGACUCCAUCAGUAGCCCUCGAACCAUGCUUCAAUGACGAUGUGUCCGGCGUGCUGAUAGUCUUCGGCAUUGCAAGGUGGGUUCUUCCUCCGAACACUUCAAAGCGUUUGAUCCGAAGAGUCAUACUCGGCUUUCCAUUUAUUGUCGUACCCAUUGGCUUCUGCGCCUCCACCGCUACGGCUUCCACGUGUCAAGCGAACACGAAAGGUCAUAGUAAUUUUUGCACAUACCACCCUGGCCAUGUAAGAAGGGUGUCUAUUUAAAGGGACUGGAUCUCAGAUCCUAUUCCACAUCGAGCGGAAAAUCCUUAGAGCUUGCUAGGAGAAACCAUUCUAGCAUGGCUAGCGUUCCCAGUUCUUCCUCCCGUCCUCAUGGCUCCGAAAAAGGCGAUUGGGAGAGAUAUNNNNNNNNNNNNNNNNNNNNNNNNNNNNNNNNNNNNNNNNNNNNNNNNNNNNNNNNNNNNNNNNNNNNNNNNNNNNNNNNNNNNNNNNNNNNNNNNNNNNNNNNNNNNNNNNNNNNNNNNNNNNNNNNNNNNNNNNNNNNNNNNNNNNNNNNNNNNNNNNNNNNNNNNNNNNNNNNNNNNNNNNNNNNNNNNNNNNNNNNNNNNNNNNNNNNNNNNNNNNNNNNNNNNNNNNNNNNNNNNNNNNNNNNNNNNNNNNNNNNNNNNNNNNNNNNNNNNNNNNNNNNNNNNNNNNNNNNNNNNNNNNNNNNNNNNNNNNNNNNNNNNNNNNNNNNNNNNNNNNNNCAGGAUUAACCUCUUUUACUGGUGAAGCCUUGGCGAAAAUUUUUCCCAAUCCAGCCAGGAGGGGAGCGAGUGUGCUUUACAUCCUUAAUAAGAGGCGUCGGGUUUCCAAUCCACCCCUUCCUCCGAGGUCUUCUAGAGUACUACGGCCUCCAACUGCACAAUCUCACGCCGGGUUCCAUUCUGCACAUCGCGGGCUACGUCGCUCUUUGCGAGCUAUUCCUGGGCCGCGAGGCUCAUUUCGAGCUAUGGAGGAAACUGUUCUGCCUCGUCCCUCGCUCCCAAAAGGGAUCUAUAUUUGAGGUGGGCGGCGCCGAAAUAUGGCGCAUAGCCGGGACCGGAUGCUUAUCCGGCACACCGAAGAAGGCGUCCAAAGAGUGGCUCUCAUAGUGGUUCUAUAUUGAGGAUGUCGCUCUCCCUGACCCAGUCCGAAUGGGCCCUCCAAAAUUUACCAGUGCUCCAUUGAAAAAACGCCACAUCUGGCGCCCUCGGAGCCUUGAGGAGGAAGAUAGCGUUGUCGGUGUCAAAACCGGCGGAUCUCUGGUAGGGGAUCCCGAACUGUGCGUCUAAGGUCGAUGGUAACAGGAGGCAGGGGACACGAUGUUUACCCAGGUUUAGGCCCUCUCUAUGGAGGUAAUACCCUACUUCCUGCUUGAUUGAUCUUGAUGAAUAUGGGUAUUACAAGAGUUGAUCUACCACGAGAUCGAGACGGCUAAACCCUAAAGCCUAGCCUGUAUGACUAUGGUAAUGAUUGUCCCCCUAUCCGGACUAAGCCCUCCGGUUUAUAUAGACACGGGAGGGGACUAGGGUUGUACAAGGUCGGUUACAGAGAAAGGAAUCUUCAUAUUGGGUCGCUAAGUUUGCCUUCUACGCCAAGGAGAGUCCCAUCCGGACACAGGAGAGAGUCUUCGGUCUUGUUUCUUCACAGCCCAUUAGUCCGGCACAUAUCCAACAGGCCGGACGCCCGAGGACCCCUUAGUCCAUGACCCCCUUAAUAGCCCCUGAACCAGGCUUCAAUGACGAGGUGUCCGGCGUGCAGAUUGUCUUCGACAUUGCAAGGCGGGUUCCCCUUUCCGAAUACUUCAGGAUAGUCUUCAGGCGAAACGACAGUGUCCGUACCUGCAACACAAGUACCACAACCGUAGAGUAUAGUAUUUUACGAGACCAAUCUGCAGAUAAUUUUUAUAACAUGACAUCACGCUCGCCCGAUUAUUUAUUUCAAACCGUUUCCUAUCCCACCGUUCCAUGUUUCGAGGCGUGGUUGUCAUUGGCACGUCAUGUCGAAGCAGAGAUCGUGUCCCCUUAUUGCGGGAUUCUCAUCAAUACGAGCAUGGGUAACCCAACCGUUCUGUUGAAAAGAUUCCUUAGUAAUAGGCAAGUCUUCAGGCUCAGGAGGAGGCGUUCAAUACCCGGUGCCUUUAUAAAGGAACCAAGGGCCGUCUUUUUACGCCAAACCUCUCCUCAGCCUUUCCAACCUCAAGUUCUAGCACCCAAGGUUCGACUUCAUUGCUCCAAGCUUCCCCAUCAUGUCUGGGCCCAUCCCUCAAGGUCGAUGGGUGGCUUCCUCCAUUACAAAGGAGGAUGUCGCAAAGCUUCGGGCGGCCAGAUACCUGACCGCGGAGAUCCCCCACAGGCUUCCUGCUCAAGGACAGGUUAUUCCGACCCCCAAAUCCGGCAAGAGGGUCGCAUUCAUCUCUCACUUCCUCCGAGGGCUAGGGUUCGCUCUCCACCCCUUUGUCCGGGGGCUAAUGUUUUAUUACGGACUAGAUUUUCACGAUCUAACUCCGGAUUCUCUCCUCCACGUCUCAGCGUUUAUCAUCACGUGCGAGGCCUUCCUCCGAACCCCCCACACUUCGGCCUAUGGCUCAAGACCUUUAGUGUGAAGCCGAAGGUAGUCGACGGGGAAUAGGCGAAGUGUGGCGGUGUUGUAGUAAGCAAGCUUACCAACACUCUCUGGCCAAAAGGCUCUUUCACCGAAACUUCCAACCAAUGGCAGCGAGAGUGGUUUUACAUCACGGAACACCAUAGUACCAAGUGGGCAGCUAUACAUGCGUUCUGUUCCGGCCCUCCGUUACAGCUUGCAUCAUGGAUCAAUAAGGGGAUGGGCGUGGGAUCAGUUGAUGAAGUGCAGACUCUACAGAGCCGCAUCCGAACCCUUCUUUCUGUCCAGCAAAUCACUUCUAAACAGGUCCACAUACCAAACUAUAAACGGAUUCACACCCCAAUCUAUUGAAACCCGUACAGAAAGCAGGUAAAAGUGUUAAAAGCUAACAAAAGGUGAACUAAGCUAACUACAGGAGGAUGAGAAGGACCAAAACUAAUGACAUCUAACCACACAGCUGAAUAACACUCUGAGCACUAAAAUACUAAAAAAUUGCAAUUGCUGAUGCACUGAGUCAACUAUACAAAGGGCAAAAAUACCACUAAUAAUUACAGUGUAAAACCAUGGAAAAUGCACGGUAAUUCCACUAAAAAUACACUGUAAUUCCACUUGCAAAAUACAGAGCAAAAAUCCCUAAAAGUACACUAUAAAUCCACUAAGACUUACAAUGUAAAUUCCACUAAUAAUUACAGUGUAAAUACCAUGGAAAAUGCACAGUAAUUCCACUAAAAAUAGACUGUAAUUCCACUUGCAAAAUACAGAGCAAAAAUCCACUAAAAGUACACUGUAAAUCCACUAAGACUUACAAUGUAAAUUCCACUAAUAAUUACAAUGUAAAUACCAUGGAAAAUGCACAGUAAUUCCACUAAAAAUACACUGUAAUUCCACUUGCAAAAUACAGAGCAAAAAUCCACUAAAAGUACACUGUAAAUCCACUAAGACUUACAGUGUAGAUUCCACUAAUAAUUACAGUGUAAAUACCAUGGAAAAUGCACAGUAAUUUCACUAAAAAUACACUAUAAUUCCACUAAAAAUGCCACUUGCAAAUACAGGGCAAAAAUCCACUAAAAGUACACUGUAAACCCACAGAUUUACAGUGUAAAUUCCACUGUAAUUCCACUAAUAAUUACAGUGUAAACCCACUGAAAAUGCACUCUAAUUCCACUAAAAGUACACUGUAAAUUCCACUUAAAACACACAGAAGAAUUACACUGUAAUACCACUGAGAAAGUACUAAAUUUAACCCCAGAGAAGCACCACCAGAGAGGGCGAUUCCUCCAUGAUCAAGGACACGAACAUGGUUGGAGAAGCAAAAAAAUCACAGGUAAACACCCCCUCCUAUGCAUUCAUCAGCUCCUGUCGUCUCUCGUCUCUCUCCUGCCUGAACAGAUCUGGAAGAAAGAACAUACCUGUAGUGGAUAUUACAUAGGCUAAGUUAAGCACUAAAUCUACAUAGAUCGAAAAUAAGAACAUAAUCGUACAAAAGCUUGAACCAGGAGAAACUCUAGGAACAACUAGGAUAUGGUUGCAUGAAUUUGUAGUCUAUGAUCACAGGAAAACUGAAAACUAGAUGCCCAGAUCAUAGAUUUCUGAAUUUGCAGAAAUAAACACACUACAAGGAUCAAAACAAGCUCACGAAGCUAGCAAUUCCAUUUUAGGAAAACUAGUUAAAAACAUACAAGGGGGAAGAUUGCCCGAGUUGAGAGAAAAUAUGACUAUUUUCGCAAACUUUGGAAACUAAAAACCUAAACACUGUUAAGAAACCUUGAUUACUGGUUUUAGACACUUUCUACCCGUUCUUAAAUAGCUGUGACUGAAGGACUGAAUUUAAGUAACUUUGGAAGUGCAAACUACUAUGAUCUGAUGCUUGCUUACAUUGAAUAUUGAUAGGCAUUAACAUAAGCACUAAAAAAUGAAAUUAACAGAAAAAGGACAAACACAAUCAGGCUAAAAACAUUCACACUAGAAGGCACUCACACUAGUAGCAACAAACAAAAAGAAUCUAUAGAACUGAUAACAUAUUUACAUUUCAGAACUAAAAGGACAAAUUUGUGACCGUUAGAUCAAAUUACUGGGAC
rnacentral:lncRNA from 1 species